GAAGACUGCGAAAGUUUAGUGUGCCAUUUGGGACAGGGCCAGAGUAAGGCGGUCCACCCUCGGACACAUUUCUAACCGGCAUGCAUCUUGUGUUGAUCGGUCCUGUGCAGAUUUUGCUAAUAUCAUUUAUUCAUACUCUGAAUAGGCAGUGUUUGAACACACAACACAAUGCCGUCCAGUGCCAUGCACAAGAGGGGUCUGAGGACUCUGAAGAGUCCUUUCUUGAAGAGACCUCUUCUGAAGAUACCUCUUCGUUCAGCCUAAGCAACCCCAAUACAGAUUCGCUGCAUAAGGGGAAUACUUACUGCAACGACCCCCCGUACACCAGGCCCCCUUUUCUCCUCUGCCCUUCCAAGGGUUUAAGUUCCCUCAAAUAGAUGUUGUAAUGGCACUCUGCUGUAAGAUAUCAGAGAAUAGUCAGAUUGAAGUGGCUGUAAAAAAAUCUAAAAGAGGAGCUGCUGCUGCUGGGGGAGGGGCUUUUUAGGGGUCUACUUGGAGGUCCACCCUGUAUAUUUAUUGGUAUGUACACUUAUGUUUUAUUUAUUUUCACUUACAAACUUUGAACCACUUCACAUCUUAACCACAGAGUGGUGCUAUAAUGUCAUCAAAAUAAAUAAA
ensembl:lncRNA